ACCACAUGAAGCCCUUGCGAGGUGGUGGGGCUGUUGGGAGUGGAAUAACCAGGCCUGGGGAUGUUGGGCAUCACUCAGACAGCUAUGCCUUUAAGACAGGUGCAUACAUGCCCGCAGAGCAGCCAUGCAACCCUUAGAGGAAACAGCAGUCCAAGGAGGCGAAGCCAGGCUGAUUGCAUCUCCACAGGUGCUGGCACCAAGAAAAUGCAUACACCCUGUGGGCAGCUCACUUUGAAGAGAGAGAGGAGAAGAAAGGGCUGGGCUGCCCCUACUCAAGCUCUUCUUCCAAAAGCAGUACUCAGAUGGGUCACUCCAUAAUUCCCAGGGUCCAGUCAGGGAGCGGUGGGGAGAGGCUGGAGUGGCCUACUAAGGGAGAGCCCUGUUAACAGAGCCUCCUACACAAGGAAGAAUCACUAGGAGAGGGGAAGGAACGUGCGAGGCCCCUGCCAACUCCUCUUCCAUACUCGUUCGUUUGCGCAUUCAACACACUUUUGAGCACCUUCUUUUCCUCUGUGCUCUGUGACAGGAAUUCAAACAUGAAACUAGAUGUGGCCUUGGCUUUCAGAGAAGUCAUUCCCUUAGUAGUGAAUACUAGUUCCCUGAAGUUUAACAUUGGAGGAGAAGGAGUUAUUAAACACCCAUUCUAAGCAAGAACAUCAGUAGCCUACAAAGGGCCUUUUUUCACACUUUGAGUCUGUUGAAGAAAACUCACAGUUGGUAUCACUUGCUUUAAAAGUGCCCCCCACUCUGCCUUGUACGGUCCGGAUUGCUGUGAGGCCAUGACAAGGAACCAAGUUCUGUUUUUCUGUGAAGAGAAUGGAAUAAUCAUUUACCUCUUUCCUGUGGCUGCCAGCUGGUCCCUUCACUCAGUCACUCCCUGUUUCUCCUUCCUCCCUUUCCUCUCCCCUUCCAGUACACAGAAUCCCUUCUCCAUAUCCCCCCAUGAUGAAGGACCACCAGUCAUUGGCUCACCUCUCUUCCAAAAUUCCAAUGACUAGAGUCUUUCUCAGAGUAUGUAUAACUGAUGUCACAGACCCCUGAGUCUGGAAGAGUCUAAGUAAAAGUGGGUGUUGACCUGAAUGUAAGUUAGUUUUCUAUUGUCUUAGUUUUUGCUCCCCUCAAAAGAGACCCUGAGAUGAUACGGAUGAGAUGAUAUGGAU
rnacentral:lncRNA from 10 species